UAGGGAAUCUUCGGCAAUGGGGGGAACCCUGACCGAGCAACGCCGCGUGAGUGAAGAAGGUUUUCGGAUCGUAAAGCUCUGUUGUUAAGGAAGAACGAGUGUGAGAAUGGAAAGUUCAUACUGUGACGGUACUUAACCAGAAAGGGACGGCUAACUACGUGCCAGCAGCCGCGGUAAUACGUAGGUCCCGAGCGUUGUCCGGAUUUAUUGGGCGUAAAGCGAGCGCAGGCGGUUAGAUAAGUCUGAAGUUAAAGGCAGUGGCUCAACCAUUGUAGGCUUUGGAAACUGGUUAACUUGAGUGCAGAAGGGGAGAGUGGAAUUCCAGGUGUAGCGGUGAAAUGCGUAGAUAUAUGGAGGAACACCGGUGGCGAAAGCGGCUCUCUGGUCUGUAACUGACGCUGAGGCUCGAAAGCGUGGGGAGCGAACAGG
rnacentral:rRNA from 1 species